GACGAACGCUGGCGGCGUGCUUAACACAUGCAAGUCGAACGGAAAGGCCCUGCUUUUGUGGGGUGCUCGAGUGGCGAACGGGUGAGUAACACGUGAGUAACCUGCCCUUGACUUUGGGAUAACUUCAGGAAACUGGGGCUAAUACCGUAUAGGAGCUCCUGCUGCAUGGUGGGGGUUGGAACGUUUCGGCGGUUGGGGAUGGACUCGCGGCUUAUCAGCUUGUUGGUGGGGUAGUGGCUUACCAAGGCUUUGACGGGUAGCCGGCCUGAGAGGGUGACCGGCCACAUGGGGACUGAGAGACGGCCCAGACUCGUACGGGAGGCAGAAGUGGGGAAUAUUGCACAAUGGGAGGAAGUCUGAGGCAGAAACGCCGCGGGCGGGAUGACGGCCUGCGGGUUGUAAACCGCUUUAGCCUGUGACGAAGCGUGAGUGACGGUAAUGGGUAAAGAAGCACCGGCUAACUACGUG
rnacentral:rRNA from 1 species